UACGGAGGUGGCAAGCGUUGUUCGGAAUUACUGGGCGUAAAGGGCGCGUAGGCGGCUAGGCAAGUCAGGUGUGAAAGCCCCGAGCUUAACUCGGGAAUUGCAUCUGAAACUGCUGUGCUUGAGUUCUGGAGGGGUAGUGGAAUUCCCAGUGUAGCGGUGAAAUGCGUAGAUAUUGGGAGGAACACCUGCGGCGAAGGCGGGUUGCUGGGCCGACACGUGA
rnacentral:rRNA from 1 species